rnacentral:rRNA from 1 species
GAUUUACUUCGGUAAUGACGUUAGGAAAGCGAGCGGCGGAUGGGUGAGUAACACGUGGGGAACCUGCCCCAUAGUCUGGGAUACCACUUGGAAACAGGUGCUAAUACCGGAUAAGAAAGCAGAUCGCAUGAUCAGCUUUUAAAAGGCGGCGUAAGCUGUCGCUAUGGGAUGGCCCCGCGGUGCAUUAGCUAGUUGGUAAGGUAAAGGCUUACCAAGGCGAUGAUGCAUAGCCGAGUUGAGAGACUGAUCGGCCACAUUGGGACUGAGACACGGCCCAAACUCCUACGGGAGGCAGCAGUAGGGAAUCUUCCACAAUGGACGCAAGUCUGAUGGAGCAACGCCGCGUGAGUGAAGAAGGUUUUCGGAUCGUAAAGCUCUGUUGUUGGUGAAGAAGGAUAGAGGUAGUAACUGGCCUUUAUUUGACGGUAAUCAACCAGAAAGUCACGGCUAACUACGUGCCAGCAGCCGCGGUAAUACGUAGGUGGCAAGCGUUGUCCGGAUUUAUUGGGCGUAAAGCGAGCGCAGGCGGAAGAAUAAGUCUGAUGUGAAAGCCCUCGGCUUAACCGAGGAACUGCAUCGGAAACUGUUUUUCUUGAGUGCAGAAGAGGAGAGUGGAACUCCAUGUGUAGCGGUGGAAUGCGUA